rnacentral:tRNA from 1 species
GCCAAAAUAGCUCAGGGGUAGAGCAACGCUCUCGUAAAGCGUAGGUCGUGGGUUCAAUUCCCACUUUUGGCUCAA